UGGGGAAUAUUGCGCAAUGGGCGAAAGCCUGACGCAGCGACGCCGCGUGAGGGAUGAAGGUUUUCGGAUCGUAAACCUCUGUCAGAAGGGAAGAAACCGCACUGUGCUAAUCAGCAGUGCCUUGACGGUACCUUCCAAGGAAGCACCGGCUACCUCCGUGCCAGCAGCCGCGGUAAUACGGAGGGUGCAAGCGUUAAUCGGAAUUACUGGGCGUAAAGCGCACGUAGGCUGCUUUGUAAGUCAGGGGUGAAAUCCCACGGCUCAACCGUGGAACUGCCUUUGAUACUGCUUAGCUUGAAUCCGGGAGAGGGUGGCGGAAUUCCAGGUGUAGGAGUGAAAUCCGUAGAUAUCUGGAGGAACAUCAGUGGCGAAGGCGGCCACCUGGACCGGUAUUGACGCUGAGGUGCGAAAGCGUGGGGAGCAAACAGG
rnacentral:rRNA from 1 species